rnacentral:rRNA from 1 species
ACGGAAGGCAGCAGUGGGGAAUAUUGCACAAUGGGGGAAACCCUGAUGCAGCGACGCCGCGUGAAGGAAGAAGUAUCUCGGUAUGUAAACUUCUAUCAGCAGGGAAGAAAAUGACGGUACCUGACUAAGAAGCCCCGGCUAACUACGUGCCAGCAGCCGCGGUAGUACGUAGGGGGCAAGCGUUAUCCGGAUUUACUGGGUGUAAAGGGAGCGUAGACGGAAUUGCAAGUCUGAUGUGAAAGGCAUGGGCUCAACCCGUGGACUGCAUUGGAAACUGUAAUUCUUGAGUGCCGGAGGGGUAAGCGGAAUUCCUGGUGUAGCGGUGAAAUGCGUAGAUAUCAGGAGGAACACCGGUGGCGAAGGCGGCUUACUGGACGGCAACUGACGUUGAGGCUCGAAGGCGUGGGGAGCAAACAGGAUUAGAUACCCUGGUA